GCGCUGAUCGGCGGGAGAAUGAAAUGACGGAACCCGGAAGUAGUGGUGGCCAUAGCCAGUCCUACAACAGAGACACAUACAAGGGAGAGGGGAGAGGGAGAGGAGAGCACAGAGAGAGAGAGAGAGAGAGAGAGAGCGAAUAAAGCCUGUGAUAUGCAGAGUAUGUAAUCAGGACUGCUUCAACUCCACAUGGGGGGAGCCAUACAACAGAUCAUACCCAUAGCAAAUCAACCUUCCUUUUCAUAUAGGAAAGAGAGAGUGAGUGAGAAAGAGGGAAACACAGGAGGAGGAAGAGAGAGAGAGUGUGUGUGUUUGUGUGAGAGAGGGGAAGAGGGAAAACUGCAGAAAGCAAGAAGAAAAGUACGAUAGAAGCCUAGACCUGGUUUGGUUUUCACUAGAUUAUUUUACAAGCAAAGUAUAUCCUGCUUUACUGCGUUGUUUAGCAUAUUGUUAACAAAUUUUUAAUCUUCAGAUACCACUGUAGCCGCGAAUGGUAUGCACGUCUGGGAGAAUAGACAGUUAAAAUGUAAAGGGGCAUAUACAGUUGAUCUUCCAUAGGAAAUAAGCUUGCUUUAACGAAGUACUGAGUCUCUGCCAGAAUGUUAUGUUUAAAGUGUGGUUUCUUUUCUGUGCAAAUUCAUUACGCUGUUUAAAAAAUUAAUUUUCCAGGACAUGAAGAGAACACCUCAUUCAAACUAUAUUUGGCAUUGUUCUUCAUUAAGUGAUCGCUUCUCUCAACCGCAGUUGUGAUGUCUGGGGGGGAGGAGGGACGGAGGGAGGAAGGAGGAGGGAAAUCCCUUUAGUUUUGUGAUGAGGUUUUUGGUCUUUAAAGGGGGCUUUAAAACAAAGUCAUGAUUACUCUUUUGUAUGAUAAGCCCAAAUGUUAUGUAGAUUUUGUUUGCACGUUUAUUUUGAGCCAAUCACUGGGUCUUGUGUGUACAAUGUACUUAUGUAUGUAUGUAUGUUGCUGGACCUUGCUCUAUAUCUGUGUUGUAUUUGGGGAAUGUAUGCUUAGGUAUUAACUCGGUAAUGCCUUCUAAUUGUAGUGCUAAUUACAGUAGGGUUGUUUGGCAAAUUAAGUGAGAUAGUGCACCCUCCUUGAGCACCCAAUGAACUUUUACACACACACACACACACACACAAACACACACACGUUAAUGUUAGUAUGUUUCUCUCGCCCAAUCACUUCACUUUGCUGGAACUAAAACAUGCCUUACCUCAGAGCAGUCAAUUACCAAAGCUACCCAAGAUCAUCAAUCAUGGGGGAUGCUUGAAGUUUAGGGGAGGAGCGAUGGUCAAACUAUCGAUUGCUGCACUUUUGUCCUCUCCCACCCCCCACCCUUUUUUCUCGUUCACGGUCCCCUGCACAUAAAAUCUAAAACAGACUAUCCCGUUAAUAGUGGGAUUUAUCAAUGAUUAUGUAUGUACCCAGUUGUGAAUGUGGCCUCAUACAUAGAUGGCUUUUAAACAUACACCGCAAAAAAAUGUAUUUGAGUCAGUUAGGGAUUGUUUAUUAUUGUUAUUUUAAGAUUUUUGGAAACUAACUAACUAACUAACUAACUGAAUGAAUAAAAAACCCAAAGGGUAAUUAUAGAAAUUUGGCUAGAUUUUAAUGGGCAUAGAGAAUGAGCUCCAGAGGUCAAUAAACCCCUCGAAAAUGAUGAAUGAUUGAGUACCUGUGAUGAUGAUAGUGAUUACCGGAGCAAUUAAACAGUUUGAUUAAAUGAGCCAUCAUAACAAUGAUGUCUGCGGGAAAUCAGCCCUCACAUAUAAAGAAAGAUAGUGUGGAGGGCUGACAAACGCCAGUGGGCAUUCCUACGAGUUCUGAUAGUGGUGAGCCCUGCAGAGCAGACUGUAUUUACAAAUAUGAGAGCAAUAUGGAGAAAAGUCACUCAGAUACUUUUAGCCAGACUUGCACCCUGCUUAAAAAGCGUCAGAAGCCGAAGAGCAGACCGGUUAUUUUCCCCCUAGAGGAUCUCCUCCAAGAUUAAAGCUAGCUCUAAGAGCAACCGAUAUUCUGUGACUGACUUUCACGGGACUAUAAAGAAAGAUUAGACCAAAGUCCAAAGAGAAAUUAGGUGUCCGGUAUGGAAGUGCAUCUCCGUCAACAGCCAGCUCCUUUUGCCGAGGCUGGAAAUGGUUUUAACAGGCGGUAAAAUUUCAUCUUGUGGUGUCAAAUUGGGGUCAGUUUGGGGUUAGAGCUCUCAGUGUCCGAGAAGGAGCUGUCCAGCUGCGUGGGGACUCAUUAAGGGCAAAAGAUCCGUUUCAAGAAAAACAAAACAAAGACAAUCAGAGGGCUAAAGAUCCUCUUCAAAUCGCAUUUUACAAGUGCACCAGAACAAAUAUGGACGCUGAAACCCAUUCCUUUCAAACUCCCAAAUCGGCUUCUUAGCUCUUGGAGGGAGUGAGAGAGAAAAUCCGCUAAAACUUAGAGUCUGUUUUCAAUCAGCCUUUCCGAAGUGUGGCAUCUUAGCCUUUUGCUGGCUUUGAGAUCUGCCUCUAUUUCUGAGAACCCCUGCAAAAACCGGAGUUGCACAACAGGAAACUGGGACGCGCUACAUGAAUAGACCGAGAUGCACCUAAAUGAACCAGAUCACACUUGUGAAGACUGAAAAGCAGAGGCGAAAAAGGAACUGACCAUACACGUUUCGAUGGUAGUUUCAACAAGGAAGCAAAAGAAGCCAUAAAUAUAGCACUGCAGCCUUGACUUCGCAGGGCCGUUUACACGUGGGGGAGAAUUUGCGCUGGGGUCGCCCUUGCACCACCGGGUACUUUCAUCCGCUGAGAGCCCAGAGACCGCGGAAAAGUUACUAAUCACAGCAGUCUCUCCAGCUCUGUAACGCACUCCGAGCCCGGAGAACGCUAUCUUGACCAGGAGCAAACAGCUGGCUUCUCUGCUGGGUUUCACAUCGAAGUUUGGCCCGCUCCUCCUAUUGCUGUUUUGCAACAACACUUGGUCGAGAGCUUUUCCUUGUGAUCAUCAGCGUUAUUAUUUUUCAAAAUAACCGAAAAGUGGAAUCCUGCCGCUCCUUGACUCCUGCAAGCCCGAGGACUGGUUGGUGGAUAGCCUGGAUGUGUUAUUUCACACAUUUUUCAUACUGUUCAAGCCAAAAUAUUGUCGCCCCCCCCCCUUCCUAGGAAUGUACAUAAUCAAAUCAUCUGGGACAGAUUUGCCUUCCUCUACGUGCUAGGAUAAUAAAGGAUUCCAAUACAGAGUACUCCCACCUUCCGGAAGCUAAAGGUAGCCUCUUGCCUGAUUGCCCCACCGCCUUAAUGAUGUCUGAGGGAAGCAUGGUGUCUUCUUCAGAUACUUUGUGCACAUGUAAAACACUGACUUAAACUUUGCAUUAGAUUAAAUAUGCCACUGACAUUAACUACAUUCUCAUCGCCACCAACUUCUUCUUCAGUUUUAUUUGACUCCCCUACUUCGGUCCAAACAAACCAGGUGUUGAGCAACUUACCUCAUAAAUUGCAAAUGGUUACUGGGAAGGUUCAAAAUAACACUGCCAUGGAAGGGCUAAUGCAGCUAUCAAAUGCCCCUCACAAGGUGGAUGAAGAGGAACUAGAAGAGACAACAAAUAGGCUCAUCAAAUCUCAGGCUAUCACUACAUCCAUGACCAAUUUCAGGGUACCUAAGAAAGUCUAGAGAGCUGUAUUGAUUAUGAAUUAUGCUGGCAAUUGUAUGUUUUUAAAUAAAAUAAUGAUGGCGUCAAAGGACAUGGAUAUAGAAUUAAGUGACUUUACUCUUCAAAGCAAACAAUGAAGUUUCAUGUCUAGGCAGCUCAUUGUAUUCAGAGACUUUAAUUACUCAGAGCUUCUUCCCUCACAGAUAGCUGAUAAGACUCAAAGGGCAAAAACCCAUCUCUGGUGUACUCCACUGACUUCAAUAGUGUUCCACCAGGGAUGGAUUGGCCUAAGUGUUUCUGGCAGGAUUAUGCUAAUAUAAUAAUAUUUAUAAUAAACUGCAUGCAGAAAGCCAGGGAACCAGAGAUUUGACCUCUGCUAAUCAAGUAGAUCUGCACACUCCAAAAGAUCUGAAAAUCAUCUUGUAGGUCUCAUCUGCUAGAGCAGAAGAUGCCUUUGAAGGGAAUUGGCCUUCCAGCUGUGCUUCCCUUCAGGCAAUCCCCUCCAUAUGAUGAUAGCCUUCAAUAUUUUGGGGUCCAAACCUACAGACAAAACUCCCAUUGAUUUAAAUGAGAUUUUUGCCUGACUGAGGAAUACAGGACAGGGCUGUCUACCUGGUCCUGCAAGAGCAGAGCACCCCAUGAAAAGUGCUGAGUAUGCCUAAUUCCCACUGACUUUAAUAGGAAUUCUGGACCUUCAGCACACAGUAAUAAGUUCCUGGCACCUCACAGGAUCAGGUCCUUAAUUAGUAUUUUAGCUAUUGCCAGUCAUCAUUUUUGUAUGACAUGUUUUCAACACCAUCUCUGGUAUUAUGAAGUGCAUGAUACAUGCUGCAGUUUAAAAUGUUUUCCACCUCUGCAGAAAUAAACAGGCUUCUUAAGUGAUGAAACAAGAUUAAACAACAAUAUACUAAUAAAUUUCUUAUAAAGCAAGUAUACACAAAUUUAUAAACCUCCUAGUAUUACAUCAUUUGCAAUUAUAACUCAUCGCUAAUAGUUCUAUUGAUUAGUGGCAUAAAAAGCUCUAGUAGAAGCAUUUCUUUGGAGUAGAGAAAUAUAACAAUAAAAAAAA